rnacentral:pre_miRNA from 1 species
AAUAAACCAAUUUUUCAUUUUUUACCUAUAAUUUUUGACUCUUCGUCUCAUUCAAAUUUUUUUUACGAUUGAUAUUUUUGUUUUUAUUAAAUGAUAAAUAAUGAAUAGUAUUUUACGUGUGAUUAAUUUUUUUUCUAAUUUUAUAAAAAAUUUAAAUAAGACGAAUGAUCAAAUGUUAGAUAUGAAAACU